CUAUGAUAUACUUCUCCCAGGGAAGUUGGUGACUUAAUCCUCGUUAUACCCUGAUUUUGGACAAAUUUUACAAGAAGAAUAGGACUUCUACUUCUCUAUGUCUACAUGCACCUGGAACAGUGCUAGGUCUAUGCUUACAAAUUGAUUGGUUCAGGUCACCGCCAUGAGCCUCAGGACAGAAAAUUGCCGGAUAUGAGAGAGAGAGAGAGAUUUGACUGGGCUAAGAAAGAAAUGAACACGAUUUAGAGAUGGAAAUGGUGACAUAUGGGCCUUUGAAGCCUCCCAUGUUCCAGAGAAGAUUGCCAGCUCAAAAUAUCAAUUCUGUUGAUCUGUUUUUUCUUCUACGCUCAGAAGACCUGGAACCAUGGUAGGAAGUGGGACAGGGAGCAUUUGGACAAGCUGUUCAAGAACUGAUCAUGCUCAUGUGUAUGGGAAAACAGAUGGAGGAAGAGAAAUUCCUGAAGAGCACAAGACUGGUGGG
rnacentral:lncRNA from 10 species